UCAAGCCCGUGCAACGAGGCCUCUGUCCGAACCGGCCCUGGCGUACUUCCCCGACGCCAGGUCCGCACCCUCGGACAGGGACCCCGGUGCAGGGGCGCCCCUUC
rfam:Mycobacterium sp. YC-RL4, complete genome.